CUGAACCAGCCAAGUAGCGUGAAGGAUGAAGGUCUAUGGAUUGUAAACUUCUUUCAUACGGGAAUAAACGAAUCCACGCGUGGAUUUUUGCAUGUACCGUAUGAAUAAGGAUCGGCUAACUCCGUGCCAGCAGCCGCGGUAAUACGGAGGAUCCGAGCGUUAUCCGGAUUUAUUGGGUUUAAAGGGAGCGUAGAUGGGUUGUUAAGUCAGUUGUGAAAGUUUGCGG
rnacentral:rRNA from 1 species